UUGGGGGUUAGUAGAUAUUGGUGCCGUCCGUUUUAAUAGAGUCCUUUUCGCUUUUGUGACUCUAAUCAUAAAUUUGGCAGUGGUUUGUUUCAUUUUUCUUGUCAAAAAGAUAAAUUAAAGAAAGAAAGAUAGGUAGUGAUUUUAAUGCUCUCCUAUCCCUAAACUUUAGUGGCACCCUCUCCUUCAUCUUUUGUGGAUGCCCAUGUAUUCAUUUUUUUAUUGGUUUGAGGUAGUUGUGCUUCUACUUUCAAGUUUAAGCCUCCUUGGAUCAAGAUAACUAUCCUAUGAGUUUUUUUCUUCUUCUUUAGAUUCUAUUUUCAAUUUAGGUUACUAUCAUUUUUUUAAUUUCCAUAAAAACUUAAAAGUUAAAUUUUAAAAUUUAUUAAAAGUUUAUAAAUCGAGAAAG
rnacentral:lncRNA from 1 species